AACUCAUUGAAAUUUUUAUAAAUUAUGAUUGAAUUCAUAACUAUAAAGAGUUAUAGUCUCGUUAUUUAAAAUUUCAAGCAUGGGAAUUAGAAUUAAAGAGUCGGGUAGCUUGAGAAUGCUGCCUUAAUAUAGGUGGUACACCCCAUCUAAAGCUAAAUAUUGUAAAGAGACCGAUAGCAUACAAGUAGUGUGAACGAAAGAUGAAAAGAACUCCUAAACGGAGAAUUAAAAGCGCCUGAACUUGUCUAGGUUUUCGCAUUUCUUUAAUGCGCCCGUCUUGAAACACGGAUUAGGGAGUUUUACUUAAAUACGAGUCUUUAACUUUUAAAGUAAUUUUUUUAAAAAAGGCGAAAAGAAAUUAACUGGUUUUUUUAACAUGGCUAUAGAGUAUUUAAGUCAAAACCCGAAUGGAGGUGAACUAUUCCUGCAAAGAUUGAAGUCAGGGGAAACUCUGAUGGAAGAUCGUUGGCGUUAUUGAUGUGCAAAUCAUUUGCUUUAUGUAGGUAUAGGUGCGAAAGACUCAUCGAACCUCCUAAUAGCUGGUUUCCUCCGAAGUUUCCCUCAGGAUAGCUGUAACAUUUUUAAAUAGUUAAGGAUAGUAGAGAAAUGGGUAGAGGUGUAGUGGAACUACGGUUCUGCAACUUAUUUCCAAACUUCGAACGUUCUUGAUAUAAAAAAUUACCUAAUAGGAAUUUUUUAUUUAAAUAUAUGUUAUAAGUGGGCUCUGACCGGUAAGCGGUCAUGGCGAAAAGGGAUGAACCUAACGUAUAAAUAAGGUGCCUAAAUUUACUAACAAUGAAACCAUUAAAAGAGUCCAUGUAUUUAGACAGCGGGUCGGUGCCCCUAAAAGCAGGUAUCCGUUAAUGAGUGUGUUAAAACUCCCCCGCCGAAUACUCUGGCCUUGAAAAUGAAUGGCGCAUAUAGUAAUACCGAUAUUAUACAUUAAAAUUAUUUAAAAAUUUUAAAAGUAGGGGGAUGUGGAUAUCUUAGAGAAUUUUUAAUUGUAAAAUUGAAUUGAAAGAUAUCUAUUACAGAUCCUAAUUGAAGUAGCGAUUAUCCAGGUUAAUCUCCUGGGGGCUGAUGAGGAGUAGGGUUUCUGGGCAACUUAAACGGACCCAGAGUUAGUCGAUCCUAAUCAAAUUAAAUUUAGAGAAAGGGAAUAUGAAUGAUAUUUCAUAACUAAAAUUAAUUUUUAAAUGGUGACAUUUUUUUAAACUUAUUUCCAUCAAUUAAAUACUGUUUAAUAGGGAUUUCUUUCCUAUAUAACUUUUUAAUUAAAACUUAAGAAACAGGUUAACUGGAGAAUAAAGUUUUAAUUUAGUAAAAUUAUAAUUUCGAUUAUAAUAACGGCUAUUUAAAUGAUCCAUGAAACAAUAAGUUUAUUUUUUCAAAAAUUAAUUUAAUCGUACCGAUAACCGCAUCAGGUCUCCAAGGUGAGUAGCUUCUGGCCAUUGAGUAAUGGUAAUUUAGGGAAUUCGGCCAAUUAGAGCUGUAACUUCGGGAUAAAGCUUGGCUCUGAUGGAAAUCAGAACCGAUAGUUACAAGGAGAGCCCAACUGUUUAAUAAAAACUUAGUGUCGCGUCAUACCUUUAUAAGUAAUAAACGUGACAUGAAUCCUGCUCAGUGCUGUGUUUGUUAAACUGGAUUAAUCCAUUUAAGCGCCGGUAAAUAGCUGGGGUAACUAUGACUCUUAUCAAAGUAGCGAAAUACCUCGUCACUUAAUUAGUGACCUGCAUGAACGGAGCUAUGAGGUUCUCACUGUCCCAAAUUAUCACUCAGCGAACCAACAGUUGUGGGAACGGGCACAAAUUAUCCAGCGGGGAAAGAAGACCCUGUAGAGCUUCACUUUGGUCUAAUCUUGUAUAGUUUCGUUAGGGGUGCAGUCUAGGUGGGAGAUUUUUAAUCAAAUAUGAGAAACCACUACCCUUUCUGGAAUUAUACUUACUAAAAUUCUUUUCUAAAUUUUAGGAUCGGAUUAGAUAGAAAGUUUGGCUGGGGCGGCACACCUUCGAAAAAGCAGCGAAGGUGUCCUAAGUUAAGCUCAGUAAGGACAGAAAUCUUACGUUGAGGAUAAGGCCAAAAGCUUAAUUUACUGUGCCUUUUUGUACUAGGAUCAGUUUGGAAACAAAGGCCUAACGAUCCCUAAUUAGUCUUAGGUGUGUAAGACUUGGGGUGACAGACAAGUUACCUCCGGGACAACUGGCUUGUGGCUGCUAAGAGAUCAAAUCAACGCAGCUUUUUGAUUCUUCGAUGUCGGCUCU
rnacentral:rRNA from 1 species